GACGAACGCUGGCGGCGUGCCUAAUACAUGCAAGUCGAACGCAGUGGGGACGGGUGAGUAACACGUGGGUAACCUCCCAUCAGAGGGGAUAACACUUGGACACAGGUGCUAAACCGAUACUGAUGGAUGGACCCGCGGUGCAUUAGCUAGUUGGUGAGGUAACGGCUAACCAAGGCCACGCUGCAUAGCCGACCGGAGAGGGGAAUCGGCACAACUGGGACUGGGAAACGGCCCAAACCCCUACGGUGGGCAGCAGUGGGAAAUCUUCGGCAAUGGAGGAAAGUCGGACCGAGCAACGCCGGUUGAGGGAAGAGGGUUUUCGGUUGGAAAGACUCGGUUGUUAGAGAAGCGGUAUCUAACCAGAAAGCCACGGCUAACUACGUGCCAGCCGCCGCGGUAAUUC
rnacentral:rRNA from 1 species